rnacentral:misc_RNA from 1 species
UGCGCUACCAUAAUCAAUUUUCCUCUCAGCGUUGAGUGACAAUUUGAGUGGAGUGCGCGCGUGCAUUCGUUACACUGUAAACAAUUUAACCGCGACUCAUCUGAAAUUUCGUCCCUACCAGUGAAAUGUUCGGCGUCUCUUCUGCGGACAGUCGAAAAUUCAUCGUCACGUACGUUGAUUGUUCAGAAGACGCACGAAACGGGUAGAAACUGGAUGCAAACACCGGUAAGAUAGCUGACACUCAAUCAGAAGACUGUACCAUUGAUACCAUCGACGAGCUACCAUCCACCAUGAAUUCC